rnacentral:rRNA from 1 species
CAUGAACGCUAGCGGGAGGCCUAAUACAUGCAAGUCGAACGGUAACAGGGUAGCAAUACCGCUGACGAGUGGCGCACGGGUGAGUGACACGUACACAACCUGCCUUAUACUGGAGCAUAGCCUUGGGAAACUAAGAUUAAUUCUCUAUAAUAUUACGAAGCGGCAUCGCUUUGUAAUUAAAAUUCCGAUGGUAUAAGAUGGGUGUGCGUCUGAUUAGCUAGUUGGCGAGGUAACGGCUCACCAAGGCAACGAUCAGUAACUGGUCUGAGAGGAUGAUCAGUCACACGGGCAAUGAGACACGGGCCCGACUCCUACGGGAGGCAGCAGUAGGGAAUAUUGGACAAUGUGCGCAAGCCUGAUCCAGCCAUCCCGCGUGAAGGAGUAAGGCCCUAUGGGCUGUAAACUUCUUUUCUCUGGGAAUAAAAACCGGCAUUCAUACUGGCUUGAAGGUACCAGAGGAAUAAGCACCGGCUAACUCCGUGCCAGCCGCCGCAGUAA